UACGGAGGUGGCAAGCGUUGUUCGGAAUUAUUGGGCGUAAAGGGCGCGUAGGCGGUCUUCUAAGUCUUGUGUGAAAUCCCUCGGCUCAACUGAGGAACUGCACGGGAUACUGGAAGACUUGAGUUCGGGAGAGGGAAGCGGAAUUCCGGGUGUAGCGGUGAAAUGCGUAGAGAUCCGGAGGAACACCGGUGGCGAAGGCGGCUUCCUGGACCGAUCACUGACGCUGAGGCGCGAAAGCUAGGGGAGCAAACGGG
rnacentral:rRNA from 1 species